rnacentral:rRNA from 1 species
CCUACGGGAGGCAGCAGUGGGGGAUAGUGCACAAUGGGGGAAACCCUGAUGCAGCGACGCCGCGUGUGGGAAGACGGUCCGCUGGAUUGUAAACCACUGUCCCCAGGGACGAAAAUGACGGUACCGGGGGAGGAAGCGCCGGCUAACUACGUGCCAGCAGCCGCGGUAAGACGGAGGGAGCGAGCGUUGUCCGGAAUUACGGGGGGUAACGGGAGCGUAGGCGGGGAUGCAAGUGGGGUGUCAAAACUACCGGCGCAACUGGUAGUCGCACUCAAAACUGCAGCUCUUGAGUGAAGUAGAGGCAGGCGUACUUCCUCGUUUAGCGGUGACAUGCGUAGAUCUUAGGAG